CCUACGGGCGGCAGCAGUGAGGAAUAUUGGUCAAUGGACGCAAGUCUGAACCAGCCAUGUCGCGUGCAGGAAGACGGCUCUCUGAGUUGUAAACCUCUUUUGUACGAGGGUAAACGCACAUACGUGUAUCUGUCUGAUAGUAUCGUACGAAUAAGGAUCGGCUAACUCCGUGCCAGCAGCCGCGGUAAUACGGAGGAUUCAAGCGUUAUCCGGAUUUCGUGGGUUUAAAGGGUUCGUAGGCGGUCGGAUAAGUUAGAGGUGAAAUCCCGAGGCUCAACUUCGGACUUGCCUCUGAUACUGGUCGGCUAGAGAGUAGUGGAGGUAGGCGGAAUGUAUGGUGUAGCGGUGAAAUGCUUAGAGAUCAUACAGAACACCGAUUGCGAAGGCAGCCUACUAAACUGCCACUGACAUUGAUGCUCGAAAGUGUGGGUAUCAAACAGGAUUAGAUACCCCAGUAGUC
rnacentral:rRNA from 1 species